rnacentral:lncRNA from 1 species
ACAUUUAGACCUAGAUCUAUAUAAUAGGGGAUGCACUACACUAUCAGGAGGACCUAAUUCGCCUCCCUCCUCAUUUAGAUUUUCCUCAUCCUCUUUCCCUCAAAAUCAAAGAGAUAUGGAAAAGACACAAAACUCCAUAAGAGCCAUGUGAAAAAUCGCCCAAAGCUGCUCCAUUUUAGCUGCAAAAUGUUGUUCCUAAAACCAGCCCAAUAAACAUGACGAAAUCAAGCUAAAAUCGAGCCGAAAUAGUAGCCAAAAUUGCUACCAGUUCCACUGCGAACAAUCCCGGAAUCCCAAUCAAAAUAGUCCUAAAAUUCAGCCUUUAACCACCUAAAAACCUUCCAAAACACCACCUCAAAUCACCCCCAAAUCAGAUCUGUUUUGGCUCAGAAAACGCCAUCUAUACAGCCCAGAGACGAGCUUGAAUCCCCCAAAAACAGCCUUAUAAUAGCCCCAAAAACGAGUUGAGAAAACUGUCUAAAACCAACCUCAAAGAGCCCAACAUAUACUGCAAAAACUGAGCUAAAAGCUCAUUAAAAUAGUCCCCCUUCGCACCAAAUUAGUAGCUCUAAAGUCGAGUUCGAAAGCUCCGGUCCGAGGUUUUGUUGUUAUCCAUUUUCUCCAGUCGAGCAUUGGAUUCAACUGUGCUGUUUAGUUUCGUAUCAAUACACAUAUUUCAAACGCUUCACACAGAGUCUCCUUCACCCUUUAAUUAAUUCUUUCAUUUUUGCUCCUGUUAUUGUUAGCAUACUUUGUUUGUUAUCUUAAUUGGCUAAUUCAGAUUAUAGAUAUUUGUUAAGUUAUCUGCAGUGUGUGUCCAUUUCGUUUGCAUUGGUAUCUCUAUUUAUUUAAAAAUUGCUUUAAUCGUAGGUUCAUUUUAUGAAGGGAUUGAAAGCUAUAAGAAGUUUUAUUAAAUUGGAUAGGCCAAUAUGAUACGUUGGAUAUGGUUUGGGCCUAAUUUUGUCAAGAUCGAUAAAUGGGUUGUAUGCAUUAAAUAAUAAUUCACAUGAUAUCUUUAAGUUGCUAUUUUCUUGCGGGUAUUGAAAUAUAAUAAUGACUGUCCUAGGCCAUCGUCCUUGUUUAGAGGGUUAGUUGACAUUUUAGCUUAUUUUGUUUAAGUUUGUUCCAUAUUCAGUUGUUUCUAUUAUUGGGG